UAGUAUUGAAUCAACUAUAUACUGGUGAAUUACUUUCGGAUUUCGGUCUAAGGUAUCCGCACUUGUCUCCGGAAAUAUUAUACCCACACAAGUUGUCAACAUCCGUUUUUAAACUGGUCAAGGUGUUCUUCACGAUCUCCAUGGAAAAUAUUCACGCUUUCACUUUUUGCUCAGAUAAAAGAACAUUGUAAAUCUCUAACUGAAAAUACGGACCCAAAUGAAUCAAAUUCGAAAGCACGAUGGAGAAAGCUGUUCACUAUAGGUCCAAGAAUCAUACACAGACUUUAAGACCAAAUGUACACUGUCAGCAUGGUCAGAAGAAGAAUUUUACUGGAGGAUUCAAAUUUUGAUACCUGGAAUCAGCAAUGAAUAUGAAAAUGAAAAUGAUAUAUAUUCAUGUACAGAAUGGUAACCGAGGUGGUUCAAUUGUUUUAUUAGCAGACAUUUUUGUUGAACUUAUGCAGGAUUGAAUAAAUGAAACUUAAGCUGACUAUGGGCUCAAUGUGUAGUAAAAAGAGGAUUUUGAAAUAUAUGCAAGAUUCAUCAACAUUACAAUGUGCACAAGUGAAAUAUCACCUUAUUUAGUAAAAAAAAAAUCAGAUUAUUGACUCAGUUGUUUUCAUGAAAAAAAAGUUUCAAAGCAAUAUCACUGUUGUAUACUUAAUAAGAUUCCUCAUUUUUCUUGAACCUGCAACUUUUGUUGCAGAAAGCUCUACAAAGAGAUAGUGAUCUGGCCACUAUGGAAGUGGGGUUAGGUAACUACUCAAAAGACUUAUAUUUUAAAGGAGUGAAGACCUGGAUGCUUCAUCCUUGGUAUAUAGAUGCCUCAUGUUAAGAAGUUUCUCUCAGGCACAUGUCCAAUGUACUUGACCUCAUAUUCAUGGUUCAGUGACUUCUUGUAAAGAAAGUUAACAUUUUUUGUAAUGUUAAAUUCUCUCUCAUUAUAAGUAAUAGGAUAACUAUAUUUGGAAUGUCAUACCUGGCAAGGUCCUCAUGCC